GUUUAGGCGUGUGCCUGGGGUGACUCGUCUAUUCGAAGUCCUACUUUGAUUCUGGCAUGUAUUUGCCCCAUAGAGGGUGAAAGGCCCGUACGGAUAGACAUGAAGCAAAUUUGAGUCGCCCUCAGAUGCAUGCGCCUUAGAGUCGGAUUGCUUGAGAAUGCAGUCCAAAGUGGGUGGUAAACUCCAUCCAAGGCUAAAUACCUGCACGAGUCCGAUAGUAAACAAGUACCGUGAGGGAAAGUUGAAAAGUACUCUGAAGAGAGAGUAAAUAGUACGUGAAGCUGCCUGUCGAGAAGCUGGUGGAGUCAAGCUCCAUGUCUGGAUGAUUAAUAUCGAGUGAUGUGUUGUGUUAUGGCCUGCCUGUUGUUUUGCCUUCAAAUGGUGAGGUGGUUUACCGCCUCAAGUUCACUGGUCAGUGAGCUUGUAACAUCAGACCUGGUCGAUUGCUCGUAUUCUAUCACCGGACAGCCAUCACGGCUGAUAGUCUUAUGGUGCCUGGUGGCCAAACCAUGUCUUUGUGGGUUAACUCUUGCAAGAUGUGGGAUGGCAGGUGGUUGAUGAGUCAGCAAUGUCUCAUCAUCUUAUUCUGUUUAUGCAGCCGUCUACCAGGUUACUCUUACUCUUCCGUUCUAUCAGUUAAUGUUCUGCUAUGCCCGCAAGGGAAUGGUAGUGAGAGCCGUGGUGUUGGAGUAGAUUUUCCACCCGACCCGUCUUGAAACACGGACCAAGGAGUUUAACAUGAGCGCAAGUCAAUGGGCCUUAUGAAACCCAAUGGCGCAAUGAAAGUGAAUGGCCAGUCUGCUGGUCUAAGGUGUGAUUCUUGGUUUCCCUUCACAGGAGCCGAGACGCAACACCGGCCCGUCUCAAGAUGUAGUCAUGGUCACUUUUCGUGGCUGUGCAUCAUCGAGGCGGAGCAAGAGCGUUCAUGUUGAGACCCGAAAGAUGGUGAACUAUGCUUGCGUAGGUCGAAGCCAGAGGAAACUCUGGUGGAGGACCGUCGCGGUUUUGACGUGCAAAUCGAUCGUCAAACGUGUGCAUAGGGGCGAAAGACUAAUCGAACCAUCUGGUAGCUGGUUCCCUCCGAAGUUUCCCUCAGGAUAGCUGGCAAUCGAAUCGCUUAACAGUUUUAUCCGAUAAAGCGAAUGAUUAGAGGUAUUGGGGACUAAUUGUCCUCAACCUAUUCUCAAACUAUAAAUGGGUACGAUGCUGGACUCGCUUAAUUGGAGUCUAGCAUUGAAUGUGAUUGCCAAGUGGGCCAUUUUUGGUAAGCAGAACUGGCGCUGUGGGAUGCUCCGAACGUGCAGUUAAGGUGCCGGACGCGGACGCUC
rnacentral:rRNA from 1 species